UGCCUGGAGUGAAGAUUCUGCCCAUUGGUCAAGAGACCUCCCUCUCAGAUGCUGGCUCUGCCCCUGCCUUUGGGGGUCGACCCUUGUACUCGCAGGACCUUAGGUGACUCUGACUUUGUCAAAGGAAAAAUUUCUGCAUGUGCACACACAGAUCUUGGAAGUUUAUUCAUCUCAGCAGAGGCAGACAGGAGCAUCAACAGCCUUGGGGACAGCAGCAGUGGUGAAAACUUGGGAAGUAUCAAAAACUUCCAAAAAAUAUAAAGAAUCAGAAAAAGCGGCCGGAUGCAGUGGCUCACACCUGUAAUACCAGUACUUUGGAAGGCCAAGAUGGGUGGAUCACCUGAGGUCAAGAAUUCGAAAACAGCCUGGCCAACAUGGCAAAACCCCCAUCUGUACCAAAAAUACAAAAAUUAGCCUGGCGUUGCAGUGGGCACCUGUAAUCCCAGCUACUCAGGGAGGCUGAGGCAUGAGAAUUACUUGAACCCGGGAGGCGGAGGUUGCAGUGAGCCGAGAUCACACCACUGCACUCCAGCCAAGGUGACAGAGCAAGACCUCUUCUCAAAAGAGAAAAAGCACCCACAAUUCCAACUGAAAGUUAACUACAUUCUAUAUUUUGUCAUAAUUUGUUUUCCAUCGCUUUUUGUAUUUACAUUUAUUUUACA
rnacentral:antisense_RNA from 1 species